CCUACGGGUGGCAGCAGUGGGGAAUAUUGGGCAAUGGGCGCAAGCCUGACCCAGCAACUCCGCGUGAAGGAAGAAGGCUUUCGGGUUGUAAACUUCUUUUGUCAGGGAAGAGUAGAAGACGGUACCUGACGAAUAAUCCACGGCUAACUACGGGCCAGCAGCCGCGGUAAUACGUAGGUGGCAAGCGUUGUCCGGAUUUACUUGGUGUAAAGGGCGUGUAGCCGGGUUGACAAGUCAGAUGUGAAAUCCUGCGGCUUAACCGCAGAACCGCAUUUGAAACUGUUGAUCUUGAGUACUGGAGAGGCAGAGGGAAUUACUAGUGUAGGGGGGAAAAGCGUAGAUAUUAGGAGGAACACCAGUGGCGAAGGCGGUCUGCUGGACAGCAACUGACGGUGAGGCGCGAAAGCGUGGGGAGCAAACAGGAUUAGAUACCCCAGUAGUC
rnacentral:rRNA from 1 species